rnacentral:misc_RNA from 1 species
GAUGAAGAACGUAGCGAAAUGCGAUACGUAAUGUGAAUUGCAGAAUUCAGUGAAUCAUCGAAUCUUUGAACGCAUAUUGCGCUCUCUGGUAUUCCGGAGAGCAUGCUUGUUUGAGUAUCAGUAAACACCUCAACUCCCUUUCUUCUUGAAAUGGAGCUGGACUUGAGUGAUCCCAACGCUUUAUUCAUAAAGUGGCGGGUUACUUGAAAUGCAGGUGCAGCUGGACUUUUCUCUGAGCUAUAAGAAUAUCUAUUUAGUCUGCCUCAAAACAGAUUAUUACCUUUGCUGCAGCUAACAUAAAGGAGAUUAGUUCUUGUGCUGACUGAUGCAGGAUUCACAAAGACCGCUUCGGCUGUCUUUGUAAACUCGAUCUCAAAUCAAGUAAGACUACCCGCUGAACUUAAGCAUAUCAAUAAGCGGAGGA